rnacentral:rRNA from 1 species
UGGGGAAUAUUGCACAAUGGGCGCAAGCCUGAUGCAGCCAUGCCGCGUGUGUGAAGAAGGCCUUCGGGUUGUAAAGCACUUUCAGCGAGGAGGAAGGUGGUGAACUUAAUACGUUCAUCAAUUGACGUUACUCGCAGAAGAAGCACCGGCUAACUCCGUGCCAGCAGCCGCGGUAAUACGGAGGGUGCAAAGCGUUAAUCGGAAUUACUGGGCGUAAAAGCGCACGCAGGCGGUUUGUUAAGUCAGAUGUGAAAUCCCCGGGCUCAACCUGGGAACUGCAUUUGAAAACUGGCAAGCUAGAGUCUCGUAAGAGGGGGGUAGAAAUUCCAGGUGUAGCGGUGAAAUGCGUAGAGAUCUGGAGGAAUACCGGUGGCGAAGGCGGCCCCCUGGACGAAGACUGACGCUCAGGUGCGAAAAGCGUGGGGAGCAAAACAGGAUUAGAUAACCCUGGUAGUCCACGCUGUAAAACGAUGUCGAUUUUGGAGGUUGUGCCCUUGAGGCGUGGCUUCCGGAGCU